UAUUGAGUUGGGGUACUUGGCGGUGUGCAGUCCUGAAACGUUGAACACGGGAAGGCUCCUCAACAAUCCCAAAUUCUAAUUAUUGCCUGGGCACUCUCUGGUCUUACACGGUGCUCCACCUUCAGGUCCGUCCGAUCGCCAUCUGGUGGCUGGAACGAAACGGCGCUACCGUCCAAAGUAAAGACACUGCGUGUCUCUCUUCCUUCAUCCUCUCCAUUCCCCUCCCCGCCUCUUGGUUUGGCUCACUCUAGCUCCCGAAUCCACCGGUAAAUUGGGCUCGUCGGCGGCGAGAAGACCCGCUGAAAUCAGCCGGGGUCGGGUGUACUCCUUGUGGGAGAGCAUUGGGGAGCAUCGACGACGGGGUCGCGCGGAUCGACUCUCCCUGCAUCCAUCCCUCCACCCCCACUAUCUCGGCUUCAUCCACCCACCACCCUCGCCAUGGCCACAUCCGCGGCCUGCGCGUCCUCCCACCUCGCUCCUCCCUCUUCCGCCGCAACUUGCGCGGGUCCAGCCUACUCCAGUGCGCUUUUCGCCACCUCCGUGAUGUCGCUGCGGCCGUACCCGCGGCUGCUCCUCGCGUUCCGCCGCCCCUCAAUGGCCACCGUUGCCGCUCCGCAGGCCGCGGCCGUCCUAGAGGACGAGGACGAAGCGCCCGUCCAGUUCGACCACGUCACGACGAUUACGAGGACAGGUUCGUUCGGUAGCGCGACCUCCUGAUUCGACGCAUUGGAGGCCGAUGACCGCCGCGCAAGGGUCGGUGAAGGACCAUCGGCGGCUCAUCCUCGCGAAGAAGCGCCCACGGUCUGUUAACAAACCAUGGCGGUCUACAAUUCGAGGAACCACACCACUGAGGAAGUUCCUAGGAAAGUAUAUUCAACUUCAUUUGGUUUAGUUCUCGUUGACAGUAUGUAUGUGCAUGUUCCAUGUGGUUGGAGUGGGCGCUGGUACAGUGUGUGCAUCUACUGUGAGAUAUCUACCUCUCAUGUUGCAUGAUGUUGACAGGAAACUCAACUCAUAUUAUACAUGCAUGUUACUGUGUUCCCCCUUCAAACUUUAACAUAUGAUUUUCAUCU